rnacentral:tRNA from 1 species
GAGGAGGUAGCAUAAUUUAGUGUGUCUUGCUUACACCAAGAUUGUGGUUGGUUUGACCCCUUCUUU